UAUCCUUUAAUGUACGUUACAUUCACACCAGCACUUCUAAUUAAGCGGUUAGUUUUGUAACGGACCGGACCGGACCGGACCGGCACACGCCGCCGAACGAGAACGCGACAAACCAGGACCGGAAUCAGCGCGUGAUAAUCAGCAAAAUGACCAGGAGCCAGUGGAGGCGGAACCGGAAGGUACCGGAGCAGAGGGACGAGAUAAAGGAGGAGCAGCGCUCUAAAACUGGAAACGGAGGAAGCGGCUUCUAAACAGUCAUUUAGGAUGAUGUUGAGAUUUGGAGUUUGGGCAAAAUUUAGCAUUGAGGGGAGAAAGCAGAAAUAAACUUUGGAUUAUUGCCACAAUUGGAACUAAUUCAAUUUAUUUAAUUUUAGUGUAUACAGUCACCUGAAAUAGUCAGCUUUUAAUGAGUGGACGGAAAUGCUUUUGACAGCACUGAUCAUGGAAUCCAGCUCUCGUCCUUUUGGAACUUUAUCAGGUUCAAUGUCAAACAUUUAUUUAAGAUUCAGCUUCUCACGGGUGAAUUUCUUUAGAAUUUGUCUGAUUAGGACAUGAAGAAACUUUGUCUUCUGGUCGAACCAAACAACCUGUGAUGACGUCCUGAAGGCUUUGGGGAAAUAUUUACUGCUUUUGGAUAUUUUGCAGCUCUAAUCAAUAAAAGUCUAGAUAGAAUUAGUGAUAGGCUGUUGUAUCGCUCUAUAAUUACUGCCUGUUACCAUCAUCACCAUCACAUGUUGGCACAUGUUGCACCACCUGGUGCAUUCAGGGACACGUGGAAAACAAACCCUCUUAUCAGAUCACUGAAUCCUUAAUAAGGAAAGUGUAUAUCAGUUAUUGUGUUUGUGCAGCCAGUGCAGACGUGUCACAUCGUGCCUCAUCGACACAGCCGCUCGCUGCCUGGAGCUUCAUCUCUGUGGAAUGUUUGCAUACGUGAGCCUCAACACACAACGGGUUCCUGCCACUGGUGCCAACUCUGCCGCAGGGCCCGGAGCAAGGCAGCACGGUACCGCCACCGGGCCUGCGUUGGUUCCUGCUCAGAGAGGCAGGUCGGGAGCAGGAAGGUUUGGUGGGAUCUGCGUCAUCAAUCAUUGUUAAUGUGCAUCCUGUGGUUCAACAGCUGCAGCCCAGCACAGAGUAGGAAAGGUUCAUCUCCUGCGAGGCUGCGGUUGGUGGCGAUUAACCAUCACCGGCGUCUGGACAGGUGUGGGGACGGGCAGAGCUCCUGGUCUGAACAAUGGUCUGAACAAUGGUCUGAACAAUGGUCUGAACAAUGGUCUGCAGGCACAUCCUGACUCCAAGAAAGCAGCAAUCAGAGGUCACGCCACCUGCACUCACACAAAGUCAAGUGUGCAGGAGCUUCCAGUAACGUUAAGGUAGAAAAAACAGACAACAUAGAAGAAGCUGAGCUUCACUCACUGACAGAACAAACACACCAGUGGCUUCUAACUCUAAUAUCCGAAAUAUAAAGUCUGGUUUCCAGGAGUUUUCCUUGUUCAGUGUGUUAAUCAUCAUCAGUCUGAAUCACAAAACUAAAGAACAAAGCCAGAGAAUAAAGACACUGCUGAUACUCACGCUAUAAACCAGUGAAAUCUUCUAUGUUCAGUGAAAUCUUCUAUGUUUUCAUGCCUGAGAGAUUAAGGAUAAAGACUAAUCGGCAGACUUCGAGUCACCAGGAGGUUGUCGGUUCAAACCCCAAGACCAGCAAGAUUAAAAUCUGGGUGGGCCAAAUGACAAAAACAGCAGAGUAUGAAUGUUAACAUGGUUUUCCUGAAAAAGAUACGUGACCUCACAGCGAGGCUAAUUACACUGCCAGUAAAAGAAAGGUCAGGAAGUUUGUGUGGAUAGAAGAUAAAUCCCACAGAGAAGACGCCUGAUCCUGUGGCUGCCACUCGUAUCAUAUAUGACCUUAAGUGAACUUGCUCAUAAGCGAAACAGCAUCCCAUCCUCCCUGACACGGAGUAAACACUUUGUUGAUGGGGAAAAUAAGCUGUUGAUGUUAUGAGCGUGAAUAUCAGCCUCCAGAAACACCAUGCGAGUAAAAGUAAACCUCCCGCAUUCUUCUUCAAAUUACGACACGUCCGCACUGUGCAGUGUGUGCAGGGAACGGCUCUUCCCUCCUGGCGCUGGCAGAUCAGACAGGAAGCAGGUCUGGUUACUGGUUAACUCAGACGAUGGAGCGAUUCACACGUACGCACAGCGAGAGAACAUGGAGCCACAGACGCGUUGUGCCUUUUAAAAUGAACCCAGCGCCUCGAAGCCCACAACCAACGCUCACUGUGCUGUUCAGUGACGCAACACCGACCGACAGGACGCGAAGACGUAGAAACACAACUGCAGAACUGCAGAUGACCCAACAUCUGAUCCAGGACCUGGACCCGACGCACUGUACAGCCCAGUGCCUGGUUCGCGAAGAUCACACUGACGUCACAUCGCAGCCUGCUAGGCUCUACGUCAUCAGACAUGCGUCUUAAAACUGCUCCAUAGAAGUUCCGCUGUUGAGAGUUCAUUAGCCAAUCAGAAGGAACGUAAAGACAGCGAUUAGCCAAUAGGAAGCGGGAAAAUUGAAACGAGCGUGUUUCGAUUGUUGUGGCCAAGUAAAAAAUACUUUCCAUUAUUUUGCUGUCAAGAAUAGAGUUCAACCACCUGGAACACAUGUGUUCUCAGAAUGAGUCAGUAGCUGACCUCAAAACCCAAAGCAUUUACGGCUCAACAUGACGACGCUCCUCCGCGGUAUAAACGGUCUGGGGCCCGCAAGAAGGAGGUUUAACAAACUCUGAGUUCAAACUGAACUCUGGCUUGACUUCAAUGAGUUUGAAAACCUGGAGUUUUCGGUUUCAGAACAGCUAAAAAGAGUUGGUUUAAACUAAUUACUAAAUAAUGUUAGUAUUGUUGUUAUGUUUCACUUGUAAAGUAAUGAGUCGUUCUUAAUUUUUCACUCAUCCAAGGAGUUACUUCAGUCAUUGCAUAAAAUACCGAUUUUUGUAUGAAUUAAAGUGCAGUGUUAUGUCCAACCUUUUUUUUUAAAUUCCUGGUGUGGUUGAUUUGGGAUUUGUAAAGUAAUGAUAAUUCAAUAAUCCAAUACGUUUUAUGUAGAGCAAUUAUUACAUCUACUUACGUUUUUAAAAAUUAGCCAACACUGAUGUAAUAAUGGGCGGCACGGUGGUGCGGUGGGUAGCACUGUCGCCUCACAGAAAGAAGGUUCUGGGUUCGAUUCCCGGAGGCGGCCCUGGUGCCUUUCUGUGUGGAGUUUGCACGUUCUCCCCGUGUUUGCGUGGGUUCUCUCCGGGUUCUCCGGCUUCCUCCCACAGUCCAAAGACGUGCAUUAGGUUGAUUGGCUUCUCUCCAUUGCCCGUAGGUGUGAGUGUGUGAGUGAAUGGUUGUCUGUCUAUGUGUUGCCCUGCGAUGGACUGGUGACCUGUCCAGGGUGUACCCUGCCUCUCGCCCGCAGCCAGCUGGGAUAGGCUCCAGCUCCCCCGUGACCCCGCACUAGGGAGUAAACGGUUAAGAAAAUGGAUGAUGUAAUAAUAUAAGAAUUUGAUUUCAAUUUUUACGUAGGUGCAAUCCUGCAGGCAUAAAAAGAACGUGGCUAAAAAUGAAAUAUAAAAACAUAUUUCAAGAGGACCUGCACCUCCACCACUGACGCAUGCAGAGGAGAUGGCCCUCAGCAUGAACACUGGAAAGCAGGGGCUGAAGGAGGGAGUUCAUCAGAACCAGUCACUCCUCAGGAUACAAGUGCAUCUGUAAAAUAUUCUGAUUGUAAUAUCAGCCUCUUGGAUCCUCCUGUCACAACAGAAGCCCAGGCUGUUAGUGUGGAAGAACAGCAGGAGGGUCCGUCACAUUCUGCUGCACAGAUGCACACAGUCAGUGAUGUUCAGUAAAUGCCAGAGUUCAGUUCUGUAAAAGUAAUGAGUAACUAAACUAAUCUGAGGGUGUAAAUGAUUAUUUCUUAAUUGAUGUAGUUAUUUGUUACUUAUAUUAUUUAUUUAUACAUCUGUUCAUGCUGCACCAACAUAAGUAGAUAAGAUUAACUUAAUUUACAUCCAGUGCAAUAAACAUUAAUGAUAAUA